rnacentral:rRNA from 1 species
UACGGAGGGUGCAAGCGUUGUCCGGAUUAUUGGGUUUAAAGGGUGCGUAGGCGGCCCGUUAAGUCAGUGGUGAAAGCCUCCAGCUCAACUGGAGAACUGCCAUUGAUACUGUAGGGCUUGAGUACAGUUGCUGUGGGCGGAAUAUGACAUGUAGUGGUGAAAUACAUAGAGAUGUCAUAGAACACCGAUUGCGAAGGCAGCUCACAAAACUGUAACUGACACUGAGGCUCGAAAGUGCGGGGAUCAAACAGG